rnacentral:rRNA from 1 species
UACGAAGGGGGCUAGCGUUGCUCGGAAUUACUGGGCGUAAAGGGAGCGUAGGCGGAUAGUUAAGUCAGAGGUGAAAGCCCAGGGCUCAACCUUGGAAUUGCCUUUGAUACUGGCUAUCUUGAGUAUGGGAGAGGUGUGUGGAACUCCGAGUGUAGAGGUGAAAUUCGUAGAUAUUCGGAAGAACACCAGUGGCGAAGGCGACACACUGGCCCAUUACUGGACCGCUGAGGCUCGAAAGCGUGGGGGAAGCAAACAGGG